rnacentral:rRNA from 1 species
UAGUUUGAUCCUGGCUCAGGACGAACGCUGGCGGCAUGCCUAACACAUGCAAGUCGAACGAGAAAGUUCCUUCGGGAGCGAUUAAAGUGGCGCACGGGUGAGUAACGCGUAGACAAUCUGCCCUUCAGUCUGGGACAACUUUUCGAAAGGAGAGCUAAUACCGGAUGACAAUGUAACACAUAAGUGUCACAUUUGAAAGCUCCGGCGCUGAAGGGGGGGUCUGCGUCCCAUUAGCUAGUUGGUAAGGUAAAGGCUUACCGAGGCGACGAUGGGUAGCGGGUUUGAGAGGACGAUCCGCCACACUGGAACUGAGACACGGUCCAGACUCCUACGGGAGGCAGCAGUGGGGAAUAUUGCACAAUGGAGGCAACUCUGAUGCAGCAAUGUCGCGUGAGUGAAGAAGGCCCUUGGGUCGUAAAGCUCUUUUAUGGGGGAAGAUGAUGACGGUACCCCAAGAAUAAGCACCGGCUAACUACGUGCCAGCAGCCGCGGUAAUACGUAGGGUGCGAGCGUUGUUCGGAAUUACUGGGCGUAAAGGGCGCGCAGGCGGAAUAGCAAGUCGGAGGUGAAAGCCCGGGGCUCAACCCCGGAGGGUCUUUCGAAACUGCUAAUCUAGAGAGGGUCAGGGGCCAGCAGAAUUCUUGGUGUAGAGGUGAAAUUCGUAGAUAUCAAGAGGAAUACCGGUGGCGAAAGCGGCUGGCUGGGGCCACUCUGACGCUGAGGCGCGAAAGCGUGGGGAGCAAACAGGAUUAGAUACCCUGGUAGUCCACGCCGUAAACGAUGAGCACUGGAUGUCCGGAGGGUUCGACCCUUCUGGGUGUCUCAGCUAACGCAUUAAGUGCUCCNCCUGGGGAGUACGGUCGCAAGACUAAANCUCAAAGGAAUUGACGGGGGCC